AGCUGCGAUACCGCGAGGUGGAGCGAAUACUCAAAAGACCGGUCUCAUUCGGAUUGGGGUCUGCAACUCGACCCCAUGAAGUCGGAGUCGCUAGUAAUCGCAGAUCAGCAUUGCUGCGGUGAAUACGUUCCCGGGCCUUGUACACACCGCCCGUCACGUCACGAAAGUCGGUAACACCCGAAGCCGGUGGCCGAACCCCCUUGUGGGGAGGGAGCUGUCGAAGGUGGGACUGGCGAUUGGGACGAAGUCGUAACAAGGUAGCCGUACCGGAAGGUGCGGCUGGAUCACCUCCUUU
rnacentral:ncRNA from 1 species